GGUUACUGCUAUCGAGGUUCGACUAAGCCAUGCGAGUCGAAUGUAGCAAUACAUGGCGUACUGCUCAGUAACACGUGGACAACCUACCCUUAGGUCGGGAAUAAACCCGGGAAACUGGGUAUAAUACCCGAUAGGUCUCGGCUGCUGGAAUGCACCGAGAUUGAAAGCUCCGGCGCCUAAGGAUGGGUCUGCGGCCUAUCAGGUAGUAGUGGGUGUAGCGUACCUACUAGCCUACGACGGGUACGGGUUGUGAGAGCAAGAGCCCGGAGAUGGACUCUGAGACACGAAUCCAGGCCCUACGGGGUGCAGCAGGCGCGAAAACUUUACAAUGCUGGCAACAGCGAUAAGGGAACCUCGAGUGCCAGGUUACAAAUCUGGCUGUCGAGAUGCCUAAAAAGCAUUUCAUAGCAAGGGCCGGGCAAGACCGGUGCCAGCCGCCGCGGUAACACCGGCGGCUCGAGUGGUAACCGUUAUUAUUGGGUCUAAAGGGUCUGUAGCCGGCCGGAUAAGUCUCUUGAGAAAUCUGGCAGCUUAACUGUCAGGCUUUCAGGAGAUACUGUCUGGCUCGAGGCCGGGAGAGGUGAGAGGUACUUCAGGGGUAGGGGUGAAAUCUUGUAAUCCUNGAAGGACCACCAGUGGCGAAGGCGUCUCACCAGAACGGACCUGACGGCAAGGGACGAAAGCUAGGGGCACGAACCGGAUUAGAUACCCGGGUAGUCCUAGCCGUAAACGAUACUCGCUAGGUGUCGGCCACGGUGCGACCGUNGUCGGUGCCGUAGGGAAGCCGUGAAGCGAGCCGCCUGGGAAGUACGGC
rnacentral:rRNA from 1 species